rnacentral:rRNA from 1 species
CGGCGUGCUUAACACAUGCAAGUCGAACGAUGAAGCCCAGCUUGCUGGGUGGAUUAGUGGCGAACGGGUGAGUAACACGUGAGUAACCUGCCCUUAACUCUGGGAUAAGCAUGGGAAACUGGGUCUAAUACCGGAUAGGAGCGUCCACCGCAUGGUGGGUGUUGGAAAGAUUUAUCGGUUUUGGAUGGACUCGCGGCCUAUCAGCUUGUUGGUGAGGUAAUGGCUCACCAAGGCGACGACGGGUAGCCGGCCUGAGAGGGUGACCGGCCACACUGGGACUGAGACACGGCCCAGACUCCUACGGGAGGCAGCAGUGGGGAAUAUUGCACAAUGGGCGAAAGCCUGAUGCAGCGACGCCGCGUGAGGGAUGACGGCCUUCGGGUUGUAAACCUCUUUCAGUAGGGAAGAAGCGAAAGUGACGGUACCUGCAGAAGAAGCACCGGCUAACUACGUGCCAGCAGCCGCGGUAAUACGUAGGGUGCGAGCGUUAUCCGGAAUUAUUGGGCGUAAAGAGCUCGUAGGCGGUUUGUCGCGUCUGUCGUGAAAGUCCGGGGCUUAACCCCGGAUCUGCGGUGGGUACGGGCAGACUAGAGUGCAGUAGGGGAGACUGGAAUUCCUGGUGUAGCGGUGGAAUGCGCAGAUAUCAGGAGGAACACCGAUGGCGAAGGCAGGUCUCUGGGCUGUAACUGACGCUGA